GCUUGCUACAUCGGCGUCCUGUAAGAUUCAUAUCGGGACUAGAAAAUUCGACAGAUCCAUAGAGAAAUGCACUAGGUGCGCCUAAUAGGAAAGAAAAACAAAAUGCAAACAACAGUGCUGCCCUUUUGGUAAAAGUUGACAUCUGUUUUCCAAAAGGACGACAAACUUUAAGGUAUCUAUUUAUCGCUAUAAUAGUCAGCAAUAAUAUUGACAUAAAUGUGGUAGACGCUGCAAAAUACCAAAGAAAUUUGCAUAAAAUGUUGCAUGUGAACUUUGCCUGCAUCAUGUUCAAAGCAAUUGCCAUAGACGCACACACUGUACAAGCUGUUAAGUCACAUACCGCCAAUACUGGAAUAAAGUACCUGUCCUCGGACUGUUGUUUCAUUCUGAAUCUGUAAACUGCAAUUACCAAGCUAUUUCCAAUAAUACCAAGAAAUAAAUACAAUACUAGAAAAAUAGAAUUAGGAAUCAGUUGUGUGGCUAAACCUCUGUUCCAUUCGGACACAGUACUCGAACUAUUCAUUUUGUUUACUGAUAAUUGCAAAUCGACAUAAUUGUUUGUCUCCAAUGUCAACAGAAUAGUUAAUUCUUUAGUUGCUUAGUAAUAAUCCCGGCUUCAAAACGAUAUAACCAGCUCUGCAUUAUGAACAUUUUACGUAGAAAAAAGACGUAGUUGAUAUCAAGAGAAUUUGAAGGUGUGAUUAGUAAUCCAAGGUCAUAAGUAAAUUUUGUGGUUUCCUUUUAAAGGUCUCACUUUUAUGUUAUUGUCCUUGAUAUUGUUGGUUUAUUCGUUGAAGUUCA
rnacentral:lncRNA from 1 species